rnacentral:rRNA from 1 species
UACGAAGGGGGCUAGCGUUGUUCGGAAUUACUGGGCGUAAAGCGCGCGUAGGCGGACGAUUAAGUCAGGGGUGAAAUCCCGGAGCUCAACUCCGGAACUGCCUUUGAUACUGGUUGUCUAGAGUCCGGAAGAGGUGAGUGGAAUUGCGAGUGUAGAGGUGAAAUUCGUAGAUAUUCGCAGGAACACCAGUGGCGAAGGCGGCUCACUGGUCCGGUACUGACGCUGAGGUGCGAAAGCGUGGGGAGCAAACAGGAUUAGAAACCCAGUAGUCC